GGUAUCCAUUGAUAGGGAGUGAGUUCAAGGACGAACUCAACCCAUAAUUUUCACUACUGCACAUGAAACCGUGAGUUGAUACAGCCCUGUUUCAUGUGCAAUUAACAGACGCAAAGAAUAACUGGAACAGCAUGAACCCCAUUCUUAUAAAUAAGCUGCAGCGUAAACUAGGCUACACUUUUACUC
rfam:Triticum urartu cultivar G1812 contig892319, whole genome shotgun sequence.